GCGAGCGUAGCUCAGUUGGUAGAGCAUCCGCCUGAUACGCGGCAGGUCGAAGGUUCGACUCCUUCCGCUCGCA
rnacentral:tRNA from 7 species